GACGAACGCUGGCGGCGUGCUUAAUACAUGCAAGUCGAGCGAACGGACGAGACGCUUGCUUCUCUGAUGUUAGCGGCGGACGGGUGAGUAACACGUGUAUAACCUACCUAUCAGACUGGGAUAACUUCGGGAAACCGGAGCUUAUACCGGAUAAUCUUCUGAACCGCAUGGUUCAAAAGUGAAAGACGGUCUUGCUGUCACUUAUAGAUGGUUCUGCGCUGCAUUAGCUAGUUGUUACGGUAACGGCUUACCAAGGCAACGAUGCAUAGCCGACCUGAGAGAGUGAUCGGCCACACUGGAACUGAGACGCGGUCAAGACUCCUGCGGGAGGCAGCAGUAGGGAAUCUUCCGCAGUGGGCGAAAGCCUGACGGAGCAACGCGGCGUGAGUGAUGAAGGUCUUCGGAUCGUAAAACUCUGUUAUUAGGGAAGAACAUAUGUGUAAGUAACUGUGCACAUAUUGACGGUACCUAAUCAGAAAGCCACGGCUAACUACGUG
rnacentral:rRNA from 1 species